rnacentral:rRNA from 1 species
UACAGAGGGUGCAAGCGUUAUUCGGAAUUACUGGGCGUAAAGCGUGCGUAGACGGUUAAGUAAGUCAGGUGUGAAAGCCCCGGGCUCAACCUGGGAAUUGCAUUUGAGACUGCCUAGCUAGGGUGCGGAAGAGGGAAGCGGAAUUUCCGGUGUAGCGGUGAAAUGCGUAGAUAUCGGAAGGAACAUCAGUGGCGAAAGCGGCUUCCUGGUCCAGCACCGACGUUCAGGCACGAAAGCGUGGGGAGCAAACAGG